UACGUAGGAGGCAAGCGUUGUCCGGAUUUAUUGGGCGCAAAGAGCGUGUAGGCGGCCUGGUAGGUCUGCUGUGAAAACUCGAGGCUCAACCUCGAGAUGUCGGCGGAAACCAUCUGGCUAGAGUCCGGAAGAGGAGAGUGGAAUUCCUGGUGUAGCGGUGAAAUGCGCAGAUAUCAGGAAGAACACCUAUGGCGAAGGCAGCUCUCUGGGACGGUACUGACGCUGAGACGCGAAAGCGUGGGGAGCGAACAGG
rnacentral:rRNA from 1 species